rnacentral:rRNA from 1 species
GUGUCAGCCGCCGCGGUAAUACGUAGAUGGCAAGCGUUAUCCGGAAUGACUGGGCGUAAAGGGUGCGUAGGCGGCAUGACAAGUCAGAUGUGAAAGCCCGGGGCUUAACCUCGGGAUUGCAUUUGAAACUGUCAAGCUCGAGUUCAGGAGAGGAAAGCGGAAUUCCUAGUGUAGCGGUGAAAUGCGUAGAUAUUAGGAGGAACACCAGUGGCGAAGGCGGCUUUCUGGACUGUAACUGACGCUGAGGCACGAAAGCGUGGGGAGCAAACAGGAUUAGAAACCCCGGUAGUCC